rnacentral:rRNA from 1 species
CAUACGGCUCUUUAACAUGUGGUUAACCUACCCUCAGGUGGGGGACACCCUCGGGAAACUGAGGCUGAUCCCACAUAGAUGAUGGAUCCUGGAAUGGUUCUUCAUCCAAAAGGUAUGCGGCUCAUGCGUCGCGUGCCGCCUGAGGAUGGGACCGCACCCUAUCAGGUAGUUGGUGGGGUAAUGGCCCACCAAGCCUAUAACGGGUACGGGCCCUGAGAGGGGGAGCCCGGAGAUGGGCACUGAGACAAGGGCCCAGGCCCUACGGGGCGCAGCAGGCGCGAAACCUCUGCAAUGCGCGAAAGCGCGACAGGGCCACCCCGAGUGCUAGGCGCUGAGUCUAGCUUUUCCCUAGUGUAGUGAGCUAGGGGAAUAAGCGGGGGGCAAGCCUGGUGUCAGCCGCCGCGGUAAUACCAGCUCCGCGAGUGGUCGGGACGAUUAUUGGGCCUAAAGCGUUCGUAGCCGGCCUAUCAAGUCUCUGGUUAAAUUUCAAGGCUUAACCUUGAGCGUGCUGGAGAUACUGUUAGGCUAGGGGGCGGGAGAGGUUGAGGGUACUUCGCGGGUAGGGGCGAAAUCCUAUAAUCCGCGAAGGACCACCAGUGGCGAAGGCGCUCAACUGGAACGCGCCCGACGGUGAGGGACGAAAGCCAGGGGAGCAAAGG